rnacentral:rRNA from 1 species
UGGGGAAUAUUGCACAAUGGGCGCAAGCCUGAUGCAGCCAUGCCGCGUGUGUGAAGAAGGCCUUCGGGUUGUAAAGCACUUUCAGCGAGGAGGAAGGUGGUGGACUUAAUACGUUCAUCAAUUGACGUUACUCGCAGAAGAAGCACCGGCUAACUCCGUGCCAGCAGCCGCGGUAAUACGGAGGGUGCAAGCGUUAAUCGGAAUUACUGGGCGUAAAGCGCACGCAGGCGGUUUGUUAAGUCAGAUGUGAAAUCCCCGGGCUCAACCUGGGAACUGCAUUUGAAACUGGCAAGCUAGGGUCUCGUAGAGGGGGGUAGAAUUCCAGGUGUAGCGGUGAAAUGCGUAGAGAUCUGGAGGAAUACCGGUGGCGAAGGCGGCCCCCUGGACGAAGACUGACGCUCAGGUGCGAAAGGGUGGGGAGCAAACAGGAUUAGAUACCCUGGUAGUCCACGCUGUAAACGAUGUCGAUUUGGAGGUUGUGCCCUUGAGGCGUGGCUUCCGGAGCUAACGCGUUAAAUCGACCGCCUGGGGAGUACGGCCGCAAGGUU